AACGAACGCUGGCGGCAUGCCUAACACAUGCAAGUCGAACGAGAUCUUCGGGUCUAGUGGCGCACGGGUGCGUAACGCGUGGGAAUCUGCCCUUUGGUUCGGAAUAACAGUUGGAAACGACUGCUAAUACCGGAUGAUGACGAAAGUCCAAAGAUUUAUCGCCAGAGGAUGACCCCGCGUAGGAUUAGCUAGUUGGUGUGGUAAAGGCGCACCAAGGCGACGAUCCUUAGCUGGUCUGAGAGGAUGAUCAGCCACACUGGGACUGAGACACGGCCCAGACUCCUACGGGAGGCAGCAGUGGGGAAUAUUGGACAAUGGGCGAAAGCCUGAUCCAGCAAUGCCGCGUGAGUGAUGAAGGCCUUAGGGUUGUAAAGCUCUUUUACCCGGGAUGAUAAUGACAGUACCGGGAGAAUAAGCUCCGGCUAACUCCGUGCCAGCAGCCGCGGUAAUACGGAGGGAGCUAGCGUUGUUCGGAAUUACUGGGCGUAAAGCGCACGUAGGCGGCUUUGUAAGUUAGAGGUGAAAGCCUGGAGCUCAACUCCAGAACUGCCUUUAAGACUGCAUCGCUUGAAUCCAGGA
rnacentral:rRNA from 1 species